ACCGCACAAGCGGUGGAUGAUGUGGUUUAAUUCGAUGCAACGCGAAAACCUUACCACCUUUGACAUGUACGGAAUCCUUUAGAGAUAGAGGAGUGCUCGAAAGAGAGCCGUAACACAGGUGCUGCAUGGCUGUCGUCAGCUCGUGUCGUGAGAUGUUGGGUUAAGUCCCGCAACGAGCGCAACCCUUGUCAUUAGUUGCUACAUUCAGUUGGGCACUCUAAUGAGACUGCCGGUGACAAACCGGAGGAAGGUGGGAUGACGUCAAGUCAGCAUGGCCCUUAUGGGUAGGGCUUCACACGUCAUACAAUGGUCGGUACAGAGGGUUGCCAAGCCGCGAGGUGGAGCCAAUCCCAGAAAGCCGAUCGUAGUCCGGAUUGUUCUCUGCAACUCGAGAGCAUGAAGUCGGAAUCGCUAGUAAUCGCGGAUCAGCAUGUCGCGGUGAAUACGUUCCCGGGCCUU
rnacentral:rRNA from 1 species